CAGCGGGACCGUCCCGGGGCCGGGUGUCGGCCCGGGAACCCGGCCAGAACCACCUUCAGCCCGGCGGACACAGCGCACGGCAAACUGCUGCCGCCGCCCGUGGUUUACAUCAGUGUGAAAAACGAGGUUUCUGCAGCAGAUGGUGAAACUGACCACCCUGAAAAUCGGGCGUCUCCAUUCAGAAGGGAACAAAAGACUUUGCAGCCUUCUCAAGUAUUGGGAGGGACCUGUUGAGAUGAGCCGGUAUCAGCAACUCACACCUUGGGAGCCACCUUCACAAACCAUCAAGCAAUAUCACCCAUAUCUCAAACAUUCAUCAACUAUAAGGAUCCAUAGAAACGGAAUAUUAACACAUGGACUUGGGAGGGGAGCUCUUUUCAAUCCGACCGGAGAUGGAUUUGGGCUUGAAUAGCUAACCAAGAAACAAAGGGAAAUAUGGGGAAAUAUUGCCAGAGGCAGAAUAAAGAGUAUAAAAACCAAGCCUCGAACAUGGCAAAUUCGUGUACCCAGCUAGAGACACAGACGGCCAGGGUCCGUGUCUAAGGGUCACCCUUGGCUCUCUUUUUCCUGGGAGAAAUUCUGUCAAGUAGGUAUCGCUGUUUGUGUGGUUUUUUUAUUGCUUAAAAUUCUGUGAUUUGAUUCCAAAUUUUGUGAUUUGAAUUUUUAAUAAACCAAAUUAUUGAAUUUGGAAAUAAAU